CCAGGGCCCGCGCCCGCGCGCGGGUCAGCAGGCUCUGGUAGCGAAAGGGCGACGUGAUGGCGGGAGGUAGCGGUCCAGGGCGAUAACACACAGGGUCUCGAUGCUGGCCGUCACGCACAGCACGUCCACGGAGGUCCAGAGCUCGCAGAAGAAGGAGCCAUACUCCCAGCGGCCCCACACCACGAUGGUGGCCCCGAACGGCACCACCAGCAGCCCCAUGACCAGGACAGAGAGCAAGCACGAUGACCUCUCAAAACUCAUACUAAAGAUGGCUCUGCAAAUAAAUGGUACCCAGACCCCAGUGAGAACAGUCAAGUUUGUCGCAGAGUUGCAGUCUGUCACAAAGUCGUGAGUGCCACAGGUUGAUUGUGAUCUAGUUCCCAAGUUUUCUGACUCACUUUCCAUGAAACAUCGCAGGUGGGUCAUGUGGCUGCGAGAAGAAGGGAGACACAGCCACCCCAGAGUGCCACCACAUCCAAGUCUCCAG
rnacentral:lncRNA from 1 species